GCAUUGAGUUCUUAGUCCACAUGAUGGUGCUGCGAAAUCAGAAAAUGACAUUUUCCUUUUUCAAACUGCAAACUGUUAAAAUAUACUUUAUUAAAAUGUGUCAUAACUCAGUACAGCACAUUACACAACUCUGUAAAGAUCAUAAUAGAAUUGUAUUAUGGCUGAAUUAUUGUAAUAUCAUGCUGUUUAUUCUUUUCUGUUUAUUCUAUUUUUUCUAUUUGCUUGUAUAUUUUUAUGAGACUAACAUAACCUUUUUCCCUCCCUCUAUUCCUGAGUCCACACUCUGAGGAAUUACAAAGUGGAAAAAGUUAAGUAAACAAAUUCUAAAAUCAUCUAAAGUCUAGAAUCAUUAUAUAUUGUUUGAAUAAUUCUACACAGAUCACUUUAUAUGGAAAUUAAUGCAGUGUCUUUGUCUUCAGCUGCAUUAUGGACGUGUGUGUAAAACGACUGUCCACACAGACCGGUAAGCAUCAUGAGCACUAUUAGCAUUAUUAGCAUUAUUAGCACUGUUAGCUAAAUCUGCUCUCAUUGUUUCCUGUUUAGUGUUGUGACUAUAAGAGAAUAUUAUUCUGUUAAAGUGAGACGACAAAGUCAACGUUAACUUUAUUAUCAUUCCUCCUCGUCUCAGAUGGGUUGAGUAAGGAAUAAAAUACAGUCCCUCCUGAACACGAAGCUACACUUAAGACAGAACAGCAGAAAACAAUAAUACAGACACACCAUCAAUACAAUAAACACAGACAAUAAACUAAACACUUUACAAUAAACUAUAUGAGCGUCAGUUCAGGACAGUAGAUACUAAAUGGUGAACGGUGGACAAGCAGCAAUGAUUAUAUGUAUAAGUGUUUGUAAAUGUUUUAUUAAUGUUUCUUUUCACUAACUCAUCACUCACUUAUAAUUGUAGUUGUUCCAUAUUGUUGUAUAUGUAAAUAACACUAAACCACAUUUUCCCUCCCCCUUUAACUGAAUCCACACUCUGAGGAAUGAGCAUUAUUAGCAUGAUUAUUUGCAUGAUUAGGCAGAGAUGUUGUAGAUCUUAAUGACACUGUUACCACCUUUUUCCCUCCCUCUAUAUCUGAGUCCACAGUCUGAGGAAUUACAAAGUGGAAAAAGUUAAGUAAACAAAUUGCCUAAAAUUAUUGUGUAUGAUUUGAAUAUUUGUACACAGUUGUCAUUGUAUAGAAAUAAAUGCAGUGUCUUCCUCUUUUUUACAUGUUGACUGAAUGGAUUAAAAUGUCUUCACUGGUUAAUGGCUGCACUUGGACAUAAGGUGAGAUAAACAGUGUCUUAAUAGAGUUUGUACUUCUUUUCCAUUUGAGUAAAUGGUGGUAAAUGCUUUUAUGAUUUUGUUACUUGGAUUUUCUCUCUCACUUCUGUUCACAUGUUUGAGCUGAAAUCUUCUACCUUGGUGUGACAGACUGUGCAGUACUUUAAAACUUGUGAAGACUGCAAUCAAAGUAAUCAAAUCACUUUAUUAACCAUUGUUUGAUACAAACAUAAGGAAUAUGUGUUCAUUAGGGAAUAAAAACCAUUCUGCAUGCUUCUCUUUUAUCUACAUGUUGGUGGACUGAAAUGAAAAUGUCUUCGUUGUUCUGCCUUUGACACAGAAGGUGAGAUGAAGACUGACUUGAGGUUUAAUUUCAUUUUUUUAUGAUUUAAAUGAACUGGUGUAGAUUGUAUUUGCAUGUACAGUCUGGUUCUGUGCUGUUUGUUCUCUGGAUGUUUUUACAGGGAUUCCUCUCACCCUGUUUGGAUGAUGGUGGUCUUUCUCUACCUAAAUAUGUCUGUGUGAUGGAGGAGCAGAGCUGCAGUUAACAGUGAGACCUGUGAAAGGACCCUUUGACAACCUUCCAUAUGAACUGGUAAUCAUUAUUAGCAUUAUUGGCUAAAGCUAAUCUCACUACAUUAGUUUUCGUGCCUAAUGACUGGGAGAGAAUAUUGUUUGGUGUGACAUCCUGUUGGUUUUGGGUUUUCUUUGCCAUUCAUAUAUAGAUAAUAUACAUUAGAAACAUUGAUGUAAGAAUUACAGUUCAUAUUGUCUGUAUACUGGAUGAGUUCAUUUCAUGACCGACCACAUGGACUGGUCAACUUUAUUAGCUUUACUACUAUUAUCAGUAUAAUGCCAAUAGAAGAUCAAUGUGCGUGAUUAUAUGUAUGUGUAUUUGAAUGUGCAUUGUUAUAAGAGUGCACCAAUACUAAUAAUAACAGUACAAAUGCUGUCAAUAGUAAUAAUAAAAAUAUUAAUUUGUCGUCUCAGCAGGUAACAAUGUGAAAAGUGCAGACAGUGUGUAUUUUGUGUGUACAGAAUAAAGUGUUGUGUGUUUAUAAAGUGAAUUCUAUUGUAAUGCUUUCAGUGAUGUUUUUAGGUGGUGAUUUUACUUACAGGUAUAAAAAUAUUAUACAUUAUUUGCACUAAUACCACCUUUGUCUCUCUUUCUUUACAUGAAUCCACACACUGAGAUAAAAGGUAAGUCAUCAAAUGAUCUGCAAUAAUUCUAUAUGUGAAAAAUCAUAUUCAGUUCUCAUUGUAUGGGAAUUAAUGCAGUGUCAAUCUCUUUGUGUCUGCAUGUUGGGAGAGUGGAUCAAAGUGUCUUAAUUGGUUAGUGGGUGCACUGGGACAUAAGAUGAAAUGAAGGUCGUCUCACUGUUUGUACCUAAUGUGAGUAUAAAUGUAAUUCAUAGAGGUGGGAGAUGAAUAUCACUGCAUCAUUAAGGUGAAAAAUAGCAAUAUUGAACAGAGUAUUGACAUUUUAUUAUUUAUAUUUUGAUCCUGUAUUAAGUCCAUUGUUAGACUAAUAAAAUAGGAAAAUGCGUUGUGUUCUCCUGCUGUUUAUUCUUUUCUUUUCAUUGUUUUUUUUUGUUUUUUUUUAUUUGGUUGUAUAUCUCUAUGACACUAAUAUAACCUUUUCCCUCCCUCUAUAUCUGAGUCCACACUCGGAGGAAUUACAGCGUGUAAAAAGUUAAGUAAAAAUUUGUCUAAAAUUAUUAUGUAUGAUUUGAAUAUCUGUACACAGUUCUCACUGUAUGGAAAUGAAUGCAGUGUCUUCCUCUUUUUUACAUGUGGACAGAAUGGAUUAACAUGUCUUCACUGAUUAAUGGCUGCACUGGGACAUAAGGUGAGAUAAACAGUGUCUUAAUAGAGUUUGUCCUUCUUUUCCAUUUGAGUAAAUGGUGGUAAAUGCUUUUAUGAUUAGGUUACUUGGUUUUUCUCUCUCACUUCUGUUCACAUGUUUGAGCUGAAAUCUUCUACCUUGGUGUGACAGACUGUGCGGUACUUUAAAACUUGUGAAGACUGCAAUGAAAAAGGGAUUCCUCUCACCCUGUUUGGAUGAUGGUGGUCUUUCUCUACCUAAAUAUGUCUGUGUGAUGGAGGAGCAGAGCUGCAGUUAACAGUGAGACCUGUGAAAGGACCCUUUGACAACCUUCCAUAUGAACUGGUAAUCAUUAUUAGCAUUAUUGGCUAAAGCUAAUCUCACUACAUUAGUUUUCGUGCCUAAUGACUGGGAGAGAAUAUUGUUUGGUGUGACAUCCUGUUGGUUUUGGGUUUUCUUUGCCAUUCAUAUAUAGAUAAUAUACAUUAGAAACAUUGAUGUAAGAAUUACAGUUCAUAUUGUCUGUAUACUGGAUGAGUUCAUUUCAUGACCGACCACAUGGACUGGUCAACUUUAUUAGCUUUACUACUAUUAUCAGUAUAAUGCCAAUAGAAGAUCAAUGUGCGUGAUUAUAUGUAUGUGUAUUUGAAUGUGCAUUGUUAUAAGAGUGCACCAAUACUAAUAAUAACAGUACAAAUGCUGUCAAUAGUAAUAAUAAAAAUAUUAAUUUGUCGUCUCAGCAGGUAACAAUGUGAAAAGUGCAGACAGUGUGUAUUUUGUGUGUACAGAAUAAAGUGUUGUGUGUUUAUAAAGUGAAUUCUAUUGUAAUGCUUUCAGUGAUGUUUUUAGGUGGUGAUUUUACUUACAGGUAUAAAAAUAUUAUACAUUAUUUGCACUAAUACCACCUUUGUCUCUCUUUCUUUACAUGAAUCCACACACUGAGAUAAAAGGUAAGUCAUCAAAUGAUCUGCAAUAAUUCUAUAUGUGAAAAAUCAUAUUCAGUUCUCAUUGUAUGGGAAUUAAUGCAGUGUCAAUCUCUUUGUGUCUGCAUGUUGGGAGAGUGGAUCAAAGUGUCUUAAUUGGUUAGUGGGUGCACUGGGACAUAAGAUGAAAUGAAGGUCGUCUCACUGUUUGUACCUAAUGUGAGUAUAAAUGUAAUUCAUAGAGGUGGGAGAUGAAUAUCACUGCAUCAUUAAGGUGAAAAAUAGCAAUAUUGAACAGAGUAUUGACAUUUUAUUAUUUAUAUUUUGAUCCUGUAUUAAAUCCGUUGUUAGACUAAUAAAUGACCAAAAUGCAUUGAGUUCUUAGUCCACAUGAUGGUGCUGCGAAAUCAGAAAAUGACAUUUUCCUUUUUCAAACUGCAAACUGUUAAAAUAUACUUUAUUAAAAUGUGUCAUGACUCAGUACAG